rnacentral:rRNA from 1 species
UUGGGAAUAUUGCAUAAUGGGGGAAACCCUGAUGCAGCGACGCCGCGUGAGCGAAGAAGGCUUUCGAGUCGUAAAGCUCUGUCCUAUGAGAAGAUAAUGACGGUAUCAUAGGAGGAAGCCCUGGCUAAAUACGUGCCAGCAGCCGCGGUAAUACGUAUGGGGCGAGCGUUGUCCGGAAUUAUUGGGCGUAAAGGGUACGUAGGUGGUUUUUUAAGUCAGGUGUCAAAGCGUAGAGCUUAACUCCAUUAAGCACUUGAAACUGAAAGACUUGAGUGAAGGAGAGGAAAGUGGAAUUCCUAGUGUAGCGGUGAAAUGCGUAGAUAUUAGGAGGAAUACCGGUGGCGAAGGCGACAUUCUGGACUUUUACUGACGCUCAGGUACGAAAGCGUGGGGAGCAAACAGG